GGCAGACAGGGGCUGGGGUGUAGGACUUUCUGGCCAGUUUAAAAAGUAUGGAUUUGUUCUAGGAGCAAUGUGAAGCCAUAUGAAAAUAAUAACUACAUACCUCAUAGAUUUGGUGAGAGUUUUAAAUGACUUCAUAUUUAUGAAGUGUUUAGAACAGAGGCUGGCAUAUGGUUAUUGUGGUCUCUGGACGUCCCUCACACUAUCACAGUGGAAACUAUCAGAAAGUCAUACUUCAUCUUCUAGCAGUAUUUAUUCAGAUCUAGAUUUAUUCAGUAUUUAUUCAGUCUUUAUGUGUGCUUAAAGUUGGAAAUAGGAUGUUAAUUAGAAAAGCCGCAUUGAUUUUCAAGCCAUUAAAAUGAUGACUAAAUAAAGAAGGGAAUGUGUUUUUCCAACUAGAAGCAAAGUUACUGGAAGCAUAGGCGGAAACUAAAGACAAGGUUGGGCCCCAGCUGUGUGUAUGGGUCAUGAUGAUUAGUGUCAGUUCAGUUUCAAAAAUCCAGUCAAACUAUUUUGUAAAUAAAUAAAAUUAAAA
rnacentral:lncRNA from 1 species